CCUACGGGUGGCUGCAGUGAGGAAUAUUGGUCAAUGGGCGGAAGCCUGAACCAGCCAAGUAGCGUGCGGGAUGAAUGCCCUACGGGUCGUAAACCGCUUUUAUACGGGGAUAACACCAUCCACGUGUGCCUUUCUGCAUGUACUUUGUGAAUAAGGAUCGGCUAACUCCGUGCCAGCAGCCGCGGUAAUACGGAGGGGCCGAGCGUUAUCCGGAUUUAUUGGGGUUAAAGGGAGCGUAGAUGGGUUGUUAAGUCAGUUGUGAAAUUUGGCGGCUCAACCGUAAAAUGGAAGUUGAUACUGGCAGUAUUGAGUACAGAUGAGGUAAGCGGAAUUCGUGGUGUAGCGGUGAAAUGCUUAGAUAUCACGAAGAACCCCGAUUGCGAAGGCAGCUUACUAAACUGUGACUGACAUUGAGGCUCGAAGGUGUGGGUAUCAAACAGGAUUAGAUACCCUUGUAGUC
rnacentral:rRNA from 1 species